AUAACUUCUCCCAAGCAGUAUCACCAGCUGGGAACCAAGAAUUCAAAUACCUGGUGAACAGGCUCUGGUGGGCAGAGUGUGGAAAGGCAACGGCAUGUCAUUCAAGAUCCUGCAGGCAGCUGCAGUCUUCCUUCCUACCGUUCCCUUCACCUUCUCAGUUGGUUUUUUACUUCUGUUGCUGUUUGGUGGUGCUGAGAACCAAACCCAGGACCUUGUGCAUGCUAGGCAAGUCCUCUGCCACUGAGCUGCAUGGUUUGCUGGUUUGGAUGAAGUCAGCUGCUGUGUUGAAGGGCCCCAUAUGCGAAGGAACUAAAGGCAGCCAGUUUCUGGACAGCAGCCACAUGAACAGGAUGCUAUCAGCCAACAGCCCACAAGGAACUGAACUAUGAGUGAUGUGAGGAGACAGCUGCAUGUCUGAGGAUGACCUCCUAGUUCACAGCCUGUGAGAAACCCUCCAGCAGAGGGCCUGGUUGGACCUCCCCAGGUUCCAGCUCACUGGGAGGUAGUUUGCCAGACAAAGAUAAUGUAUCUCCCAUGGCACACUUAUCACUAAAUAAAGUCCUUUGUGGAUAGCA